UCUUUUAUUAGCUUGUCUGUCUCUGUUCUGAGUUCCCCUCUUUUAUUAGCUUGUCUGUCUCUGUUCUGAGUUCCCCUCUUUUAUUAGCUCGUCUGUCUCUGUUCUGAGUUCCCCUCUUUUAUUAGCUCGUCUGUCUCUGUUCUGAGUUCCCCUCUAUUAUUAGCUCAUCUGUCUCUGUUCUGAGUUCCCCUCUUUUAUUAGCUCGGUAUGAAAACGCAUUUAUUUCCUCACUCUCUUCACUCUGCAAGGAGCUGCUGGCUGAUGCCGAGCAGCGUCAUCUGCUGUCUUUUUACUGUCUCACUCUGCCUGACCUGGUUUACAGCUUUGGACAAGGUCUAUGUCUCAACAGGAUGUGGUAGAACACCAGCCCAAGGUCUCUGGUAUGAGCGAGAAGAAACUAGGCAGAGGGCACAGAAGCUACAAAGAGAAAGUCAACUCUAUCUACAUGUGCAUGCCUGACAAAUUACCAGCACAGGAAGCAGGACAUGACCUUCGACCUAGAAGCUCUCUAUCUGGGUGCGUCCCAAAAGCGUCCACACUUGUACUUUACCAACACUUUCUAUAGUGUCUAAAUGUGUUUGCUUUAGCCUGUUAAUGGAAUUCUGUAUAAGGCCCAUCUUAUGGCAACGCCUAUGUUCACCACCCACAGACUGUGCCAUAUAAAAUCACCCUUUGGAUAAUUGUAGAGGAAUUAUCGCCUGACUGUAAGUCACUUAGGAUAAAAGCUGUGGAUAAAAGCGUCUGCUAAAUGGCAUAUAUUGUUAUUAUUAUAUUACGAAACUCACAUUUUGUGGUCAUAUAAAGAUACUGGGAUAUUCAUGUAAUCAUAUAAACAUUGUAUAUCUUUUCACAUGUACAGAAACAUGCUUCUCAAUAUGAGCUCUUUGUGGAGUGUAUUUGGCCUACAGCAAUAACCAAACAUUUCUUUCAUUAUCACAGUAUUUGACACUAGCAGACACUCGAACAAGUGCAAGGGAUGAAAGUCAUGACCAUUUAUAAUGUGUGUGUGUUCAUUUUUUAUUGUGCCUUUUAUUUAACCAGAUAAUUCAUUGAGAACACAUUUUCUGCUACAAUAAAGACCAAGAUGAGAGCGAUGAGACUGUUUGUUU